rnacentral:tRNA from 1 species
GCGCGAGUGGCGGAAUCGGUAUACGCGGCAGACUUAAAAUCUGCUGGCCAAAAGCCUUAUGGGUUCAAGUCCCAUCUCGCGCACCA